CUCUAUCCGAUUGAAUACUCUUUUUGCAGUCUCCAAACAACCUGCCUUUCCAUACAAAUCUACCAACGCAGCCCCCACGACAGCGCUCAAACUGAACCCAUUCUUAACAACAUAUCCAUGUAUCUGCUUCCUUUGAUAAAGACCAGUUCCAUCUAAAUUAGCACAAGAAGACAGCACAGUAACAAAUGCAGCCUCAUUAGACUUUACGGAACCGCGGACCACAUCCUCGUGAACCAUAAUCUUUGCAAAAAGUGGCAAUGCAUCAACAAAGCGUCCAUUCAUCACGAACCCAUUAAUAACACUCGUCCAUGAAACCACGUCCUUCCCGGGCAUGCUCUGGAAAUACAGAAAAGCAGAACCCAUGUCUCCAUUCCUCCCAAAAGCGUCAAGUAAAGCAUUACACGCUACAAUACAUGGAUGAGGAAUUUCCACAAACAUCUUACGUGCAGUGCGUAUGUCACACACUUCGGCGUCCACACUCACGGAUGAAGUUUGCACAAAUGGGUCGCAUAAAACACCCCAUUUGAGAGCAUGAGCAUGGAGAAUUGGGCCAGAUGAGGGAGAGCAAGAAGCAGCUUUGAUUAGAGACGGGAAAGUGAGAUGGUUUGGUGAAAGUCCGUGUGCAAUCAUGCGGGUGAAAAGUAGUAAAGAAGUACAAGAGAGUCCCGUAGAGAGAUAAGAUCAAAUGAGAGUGUUGUAAAUGAGAACGGUGUUCCAUGAAGAAGUGUGGUUGAGGAGAGAGCCGCGGGUGAUAAGAAGGGAAUGAAUCUGUUUGAUCUGGUUGGGACAGUGGAUGAAAUGCUGGAGAAGAAGCUCGGGACUUGAAAAUCCAGAAAACCCACCUGUUACCAGAAGCUUUAAAAUCAAAACUUGAUUAGAUGCCCGUUCUUGUCCACCAUCUGCCCAGUUCAUAUAUUAUUAUUUUUGGAUCAAAUUAACAUUUUUUUUUUCUCAUGCUUCUUUCAAUUCAUAUAUGUAUAUAUAUAUAUAUAUAAAUUUAAUUCCAACAAAAAAUGAAGAAAAUUCUUUUAUUUUACUAUUUAUUUUCUGUGUUUUAAAAUAAUAAUAAUUAUUAAAUUUUAUUAAACUUAUCGAGAAAGAUUGAUUGAUUUUAUUUAAUCUAUACAAUCAUAUUAUUAAUAAAUUAAAAAAAGUUCGAUUACAACUGUUUUUUAAUCUUUCUAAGUUUUCUAACGAAAAAUAAAUUCUACGCAGAGAAAAUCUUUUCUCGACAUAGGUUAAAUUUUUAUUCAAUUUUUAACACUGUGUAUAUUUAUUAAAAUCGAGUCUAAAAUAAUUAUGAACUCAACUUGAAAAAAAUGCUUUGACAUUAAUAAAAUGGAGAACAAAAUCAAUAUUUUAAACUAUAAAAUUUACAUAUUAAAAACUAGAAAAUAACCAACCCUAUCACCUAAAGAAAAGAAAGUGACAAUCACAAAUUACCAUAUUCAAUUCAUUUAUAAUAAUCAUAAAUUACCCUCUUCGAAAAUUCUUAUAUUUCACUUCUGUUCUUCUAUCUUCAUUUCUCCACUAAUUUUCCGUAAAGAUUAAUUUGCAAUCGUUAUGCUUGCAACAUCAUUAUGAAAAUUUUCUGCCAUUGUGCAAUAUUCUUGCAGUCAAUCGCUUCAGACUAUUCUAGUGCUUGAUCCGAUCAUCUUUUAUGCAGAAAUAAUAUAAUAAUACCCCACUCAUUUGGACUGUUGUUUGGAGAUUAUAAGCUUUAGAUAGCAUUUUUAUUAAGUGUUUUAAUUCAAUAAUUAAAACACUAAUUGAACAAAAACUCAAAGUUCUACAUAAGAAAAAAGAUUGACAGUCAAACUAUUACCAUAACAUUUGUAAGACACAUUUUUUGUGUAAAACUUUGAACCUUACAGGACUAAGGCAAAGUACAAGUUAAUCUAUUGUUGGUUCUGGGUGCUAAUAUAUGAAUGUUCCUGUAUAAGCCUAUGGGGAGUAAGUCGUGCAAGAGGUCAAAAGAAAGGGAACAUACGAUAUGGGAUUUUGUCUGUAACAGGAUUCUAGUGGACAUAUUGGAGCUGCUAGCGGUAGCUGCUGUUUUCCUCACAUGGUUUUAUGGAUCCUGUUUAUGUGGAGUAUGAUAUUUAGUGAAAAAUAUUUUAUCAAGAAAGAGUGAGACUUACCUUAUAAAGACUUUGGGUAUUACAGUUUUAUUGUUUUGUUUCGAUAAGAGAGUGCUUAGUGCUGGUUCAAGUUUUUGGUAAAGACUGAAAACUAGUCAGCUCCACAUUCCUUGCAUGAUAUUAAUCAAGGUCGAUAUGCUUUUCAUUCUCAAGUUGUUUUUCUUUUUUGUUCAUUUUAAUUUUUUUUACGAAUGUGUUAGAUAAGAUGGUAUGGUUAGCUUCUGUAUAUAAGGAAUAUAUACCUUUCAUCUGUUUUGAUUUUCACUACAUGAAUGUUUGAUUUGUGAGAAGCUUCUCCUGAAAGAGACUAUUGAAACAGUUAGCCUCUUUGGUUUUACCUUAUUUCAGCUUAUUCUUCUAUUGAUCUGAAUACAUGUUUAACCUGUUUUGUUAUGUUUUAUUUUUCUUUUCGAGAUUUUUCAUAAUUUUUUAUGUGAUUGUUCCUCUCUGAGUAAUCUAUUUUAUUAAAUAUUAGUGCUAUUUAAUUUAUUAUUUUAAAUUUAAUUUUUAGGAAAAAUAAAUAAUAAUUUUUAAAUAUAUAUUUUGUUUUGGUUUAAUUUUAAAAAUAAUAUUUUUUUUCUAGAAAAUUCUGUAAUUGAACAUCUCUUUUUUAAUUUAAAUUUGUAAUUUUAUGAUUAAUUUAUUAUUUUUAUGAUUUUUUUUUAUAUUUUUAAUUUGUUUUGUUAUACAUUAUUAUUUUGCUUGCAAAUUAUAGUUAUAAUUAUAAUUAAAUUAAUUUAACAGCCCCAACUCAUAACCUGCAAACGACAGCGUUUUGGAAGAGGUUAUUGGCGGGAAGGGGGGAGUGUUUUAAGGGAAUUUAGAAAGGUUUAGGGGCAAAAUUGGAAAUACAGCUGUUCCAACGGUCUUCUUCUCUCUAUAUAUAUAGCACCGACCACUCCCUCUCUCUACUCAGCUUUCAGACAGAUCACAUUCCUUCUUCCCUUUCCUCCCGAUUCUCUCUGUUCAUUGGAAACGUUUCGUUUCCUUCCGAUUUCUCUCAAAUUCAAUCGACUGCUUCGACUUUGCUUCUCCGCUCGCUUCUCUGGUAAGGAUCUCCACUGCCGCUUUCUUUUUUUUUUUUCCAUUAAAGAUUCAUAUUGCAAAUCUUCUUCUUUAAUUUUUUCAAAGAACUCUUUAAUGUUUGUGGUUCUCUUAAUAUUCGUGAUUCUUUUACGAGAUAAAACAUAAAAUCAUGUCCUCUGAGUCAGAUCUGGAAUCCACCGUAACACUCAUUUAGGGAAAAGUCACCAAAAUCUAAGAUCCGUGUAAUCCUUUUUCGGUAACAAACGACCAAUAAAAAAUAUUAAAAAAGAAACCCAGAAAAUCCUCUGUGAAAAUAAAAAAACGAAAAGAGAUCAAAACCCUAGAUCUUGAAAUAAGACUGAUUACUUCUCCCUGGCUUUUCUGUAAUUAGGUUGUGUGGAGUUUUGCAUUUGAGAAUCUUGAAAUGAAUCUGUAAAAUGCAAUCUUUAUAAUGUUAUUAAGGUUUGAGCUCACCAUUACAACGUAAUGGCCUCAAACCCCAUGGAGGAGUCCUAAUCAUAAUGUAUCUUUGUUUUUUAACUGGGUACAAAUUGCAAUGGUGGUGGUUCUGCUAUUUGGGGUUUGAGGACUAAUUAUAAUGUAUAUAAUUUUCAUUUAGUUUGAGGACAAACUACAAUUGUAUAAUGGAUUGUAUUAUUACGGGUUCUCUGCGUUAUUAUGUUUGUUAUUUCAAUUAUUCGGGGCUUAUAGUUGAAAUUCCAAUGUAUAUUAUUUUUAUUGGAUGAGAAGCAUAUUGGGUUCUAUUAUUAUUAUAUAUAUUAUAUAUUUUUUCAAUUAAUUGUACUCAAAUUAUGGGUUUUGGAUCUUGUGGUUGUAUUCCAUAUUACAAUAUAUAUGUAAUAUUUGUAGGUGUCAAGUCUGUUUAUAGUUGAAAUUCCAAUGUAUAUUAUUUUUAUUGGAUGAGAAGCCUAUUGGGUUCUAUUAUUAUUAUAUAUAUUAUAUAUUUUUUCAAUUAGUUGUACUCAAAUUAUGGGUUUUGGAUCUUGUGGUUGUAUUCCAUAUUACAAUAUGUAUGUAAUAUUUGUAGGCGUCAAGUCUGUUUAUUUAUCUUAUAAUAUUGUUAUUAAGUUUUGUAAUAUUUUUUACAGGUUGUAUAUAAUAUUUAUAAGUUUUGAGCCUAUUGGAUUGUAUUUUUAUUAUUUUCGUCAUGAUAUUACCCACAUUAUUGUAUUUGGAUAAUGGAUUUCGGAUCAUUUGGUUGUAUUUCAUAUUAUAAUAUAUAUGUAAUAUUCAUAGGUAUCAAGCCUAUUGAAUUGUUUUAAUAUUGUUACGAAGUUUUGUUAUAUUUUUUAUAGGUUGUAUGUAAUAUUUAUAAGCUUUGAGCCUAUUGGAUUGUAUUUUUAUUAUUUUCGUCAUGAUAUUACCCACAUUAUUGUAUUUGAAUAAUGGAUUUCGGAUCAUUUGGUUGUAUUCCAUAUUACAAUAUAUAUGUAAUAUUCGUAGGUAUCAAGCCUAUUGAAUUGUUUUAAUAUUGUUACGAAGUUUUGUUAUAUUUUUUACGGGUUGUAUGUAAUAGUUAUAAAUUUCGAGCCUAUUUCGUUGUAAUAUUAUUAUUAUCACGAUGAUAUUACCCACAUUAUUGUAUUAGAAUAAUAGAUUUUGGAUCAUUUGGUUGUAUUCCAUAUUACAAUAUAUAUGUAAUAUUCAUAGGUAUCAAGCCUAUUGAAUUGUUUUAAUAUUGUUACGAAAUUUUGUUAUAUUUUUUACGGGUUGUAUGUAAUAGUUAUAAGUUUCGAGCCUAUUUCGUUUGUAAUAUUAUUAUUAUCACGAUGAUAUGACACACAAUAUUGUUUUUGAAUUAUGGGUUUCAAAUAUUUUAAUUUCAUUCAACAAUAUAAUGAAUGUAACGAAGCCCAUUGACUUGUAUUUUUUUUCUUAGAUAAUUAAACUAUAUUCUUAUUAUUAUGAAGUUUAUUAACUUUUAUGGGUUUUAUAAGUUGCUAAAUUCAGUUGUUAUUAUUAAUUUUUUUUUAAAGUUGUGGGCCGAGCACAAAUUAUAAUUUGAUUUUAACCAAGUUUAAGCGUAUGUUAUUUGUAAUAAUAUUUUUGCGAUGAAUUUCAUUAUUGUUAUUAUUUGUGAUGUAUUAUUGAGGGUUGAACCGAAUUGUAAUGCAUAUUAUAUUUUUUUGAUGUGUUUGUAAAAUUUAGUUGCAUCUAAAAUUGUAUUGACCGACAACAAAGUUUAAUCUUCAAAUUUUAACAAGCAAAUAAGAUUAAAUUAAAACAUUAUAAUAUUAAAAAUGUUAUACUAAGACAUUAUCAAUUUACUUCUUCAAUUUGAUGGUAAAUAAGACUUAAAUUGAAAUAAAAAAUAAACUGAAUUUUGUUGGUGAACAUAAUUUCUUAGUUUGUAAAUAAGAAUGUUAAUUAUUUGACAUACAAGUAUAUUUAUACAGUAUAUUGUGCUAUAUCCAGUAAUUAUAAUGUAUAAUAUUUGUGUAAAACAAUUAUCGUGUAUUGGUUUGCUAGAAAAUAGUAAUAUAAUGAAUUGUAUUCUCAAUUACAAUGAGUAUUUUUUUAGUGAGAUGAAAGUUGACGUAUUGUAAUAUUUUUAUCAGAAAGUUUCACCUACAAUUCGAUCAGAAAAAAUGAGUGCAACUACUUGCAGUUCAGUGAAAAAAAGAAAAAUUCCAAUGCAAAAACGUGAAACAAAAGAGCAGAGAGCUGUUACAUUCAGUAAAAGACGAACGGGUCUGUUUAACAAAGCAGCAGAAUUGUGUGUUCUCUGCAAUACUCAGGUUGUAAUUUUGGUUUCUGCUCCUUUGGCCAAAGAAAAGUUUUAUACUUUUGCACACCCUAACAUCAAUCUUCUUCUCGACACAUUCCUCAAUAACCAUGUCUCUCAUCCCAUCAACAAUUACAAUAAUCUUUCUACUUCUUCGUCUCAUCAAACUAUGGAGCAAUUAACUCCUAACAAUAAUGUGUCCAAGACCAAGAAGAGAAAGAGAGAGUCUGAAGAGUUUUGGUGGGAAAAUGAAGACUUUGAUGUUUACCAAACACCUGAAGAGGUGACAUCAAUCAUCGAGAAGUUAGAAAAGGUGAGAGAAAAUGUGGCGCUCAAACUUCAAAAAUUAUCAACUUCUAACAAUCGAGAUGUUAGUAGUAGUCAUCAUCAAAACUAUCAUCUUGAGUGCUUUGCUGAAAAUAUGAUGAACAUUAAUCAUGAGUACAACAAUGAGAGUGGUGAUCAAAGUCAGUUUAUGUCAUCAGUUGUGUUUCAAAAUUUAUCAACUUCUACUUAUCAUGGUAGUUGUAUUGAUCAAAAUAUAGUAGACAUUGAUGGAUACAAGAACUAUGUUGAUUUUAUGCAAAUGUUGCCUCUAAAAUCUACUAUGCUUACACACAAUACCAACAAUGGCAGCCAAGAUAUUGAGAAUUAUCACAAUGAUAUGGGUACUACAUUUGAAGCCCCAUUAUUCUUCUCUAAUGGCGUCGAAAAUUAUCAAGAUAUUAGUAGUGGUGAUCAUCAAAACUAUCAUCUUGGGUGCUUUGCUGAAAAUAUAAUGAAUAUUAAUCAUGAGUACAAUAAUGAAAGUGGCGAUCAGAGUCAGUUUAUGCCAUCUGUUGUGUUUCAAAAUUUAUCAACUUCUACUUAUCAAGAUGGUUGCAUUGAUCAAAAUAUGGUGAACGUUGAUGGAAACAAGAACAAUGUUGCUUUUAUGCAGAUGUUGCCUCUAAACUCUACUAUGUUUACACACAAUACCAACAAUGACACCCAAGAUAUUGAGAACUAUCACUAUGAUAUGGGUACUACAUUUGAACCCCCAUUAUUCUUCUCUAAUGGUGUCGAAAAUUAUCAAGAUAUUAGUAAUGAUCAUCAAAACUAUCAUCUUGGUUGCUUUGCUGAAAAUAUAAUGAAUAUUGAUCAUGAGUACAAUGAUGAGAGUGGUGAUCAAAGUCAGUUUAUGUCAUCUGUUGUGUUUCAAAAUUUAUCAACUUCUGCUUAUCAUGGUGGUUCCAUUGAUCAAAAUAUAGUGAACAUUGAUGGAAACAAGAACAAUGUUGAUUUUAUGCAAAUGUUGCCUCUAAAAUCUACUAUGCUUACACACAAUACCAACAAUGGCAGUCAAGAUAUUGAGAAUUAUCACAAUGAUAUGGGUACUACAUUUGAAGCCCCAUUAUUCUUCUCUAAUGGCAUCGAGAGAUGUGCUACGUCUUUUUGUAUUGGUGAUCAAAAUUUUAGUUGGAUGAAUGAUAAGAUCACUACUUCAUAUAGUCAAAAUGAACAAUUUUCACCGUCCAUCUCCUCCAAUGACUUGGAUCACCAUAUUAAUACUUCUUUUGAAUGGGAGUUCAGAGAUGAGAAUCCUUCAUUUCUUCAAGAUAAUGCUACUGGAUUAGUUCCACUAUUUUCUCAUAGUGAUAAAAGCAUAGACAAGCAGAAUUUGUCUGAAUCAAAUUUUAAAGAUAAUAAUUUUUCAGUUACUGGAGCAACAACUGACAAUGACUUGUUUCUUGGUGACGACUAUAUUAAUUCUUCAACAAUGGAGGAUAACACUGAAUUUUUUUCAUUGUUGGAAUAUUUCUUUUCUAGUUGAUUGUAAGCUUUCUCUGUAUUUCCUUUGCAGUGUAAUAAAAUGUUCUUGUGGUCUCUCAACUUUUUCUUUGGCAUAUUGAUCAUAAUAUAAUUCUUAUCAUCCACUAAAUGAUGAAGUAAAUAUGUACGGAAUCAAUAUUUAUAGUCAUCAACUAUGAGAUUAAAAAAAAAAUUCAUACAAAUAUUUUAUACUAAAACAAUCAACUGCAAACUUAAAAAUCUCCCAAAUUAACUUGAAUUAAGAGUUUAUUUUAUUUUACAUUUUAAAUUAAAUAGAUCUUAUUAUUUGGGUUCUUAAUUAGUUUUAAGUUUUUAAUUAAUUAUUUUUUAAAAAAUAUUUUUUUAAAAAAUUUAUUUAUUAUAAUAUAAUUUCAUAAUAUAAGGAUAUCGGCAUUUUAUUUUUUUAAAAAAAGAAUAUCAGCAUUUAUAAUCACUAUCAUUUUUUAUUUCUUUUUUCAGUUGAGGAAACAAAAAAUAAAUAUUAGAAUAUAUUCAAAAAUUAUUAUUAAAUAUGUCAAACUAUAAAAAUAUUUUAUAAAUUAAAGUUUGAGUGAAAACUAAACCAAGCAAACGUAAGUAAACACUUUACUAAAUAUAUGAAUUAAGCCAAUCGAACAAGCGAUUAAUAUAUUUAAGCUUACCGGUACAGAUUUUAUCCCAUAAUCAUUUUAGGGAUGAUUUAAAUUAAAAAUAUAUUUUUAUAAUAAUAUAUAUUUAAUUAAUAUAUUAUUUAAAUUAGAUCGAUUUAGUUAGAAAUUUAAUUAGACAGAAAAUUUAAUUAAAUUUUAAUACUAUUCAAGUUCGAUGAGAUUUUAGAUUUUAAAAUUAUAAGAUUAUAUCAAAAUCGAAGUUUGUAAAAUUCGCUCAAGACUCCAUCUAUUGUUACCCUAAACCGUGUUCAUACCAUAUUAGAAUUGAACUUUGUGAUUCAGCCGGUUGUUUGAACUUAUGAUGGUAUAGAAUCACACGGGUCCACCACCUUUAACUCAUUGAAGAAAAGCUAGACACAACCUUCAAAAAAUUUGAAAAAAGUUUGGAUGUAUCUUCUUUUAAAAGAAAUCAUUUUACCCUGUAAGUCUUUGUUUCUUUCUAAAAAUCUAUCUGGGUGUUACCAUGAAAAUGAUGAAGGCUGUGAAGAAGCUCAAAUUCUGGUCAAGAUCCAGGAAGAAAAGGAAGUACCUUGAGGAGCCCUUCUACCCUGUUCUGGCGCACCAUUGUUGUUGCCGUUCAUGCUCCUCCGUCCAGCCCUCAGCUCCACCAUGGCCUGGUGAAUUCUCAUAUCAGAUUCAAGCUGAUGAAACAGAAAGUGUAGAAGAAAGUAAAUUAAUCCAUUCAAAAUUACCUCAAGUAGACGAAGUUAUAAUCACGAGUAGGUCAAUGUAUCAGCAAUAUAUGGUUGAAAAUCCUGUGUAUGACAUGCCUGAGCCUGUUGUUGAGAUAGUUAGAAGAGAAAGAUCAGGCGGGUACGUUCUUCAGCUGGGUUCUUGUCUGAUCCGCUGCUUCUGCCCAUGUUUCAGUACAGAAGAAGCUCAGUAAAAAAGUGAUUUUGUUAAAUUGUUAGCUUACUUCUUCCUCUAUUUUCUUCUUUUUUUUUUCUUUAAAUUCAGCAAUAGUAAAAAUAUGUUUCUGGAUAUUUUUUUUUGUAAAAAUGCAUUGUCAGUCUUAACUCUGUUGUAUCUAAUAUUUUAACGUAAUAUAAACUUUUAAUAAAAAUUCAUACCUAACUUUGGUUGCAUUCAUACCAAGCGCGGGCAAGAAAGAGCCCCAGCCAACUCCGCUCUGGACGCUAUGAGCUUCUCUAUGCAAUUCUUUAUCUCUUUCUGACUAUUUGUUCUCUGUGUAUUGCUCCUGCAAAAAAGCCAAGCAAAUAAGAGAAUCAAUGAACAAAAAAGUAGUCCUCAAAGAUGCUCAGAUUUAAAAAUACGUAAAGCCGGUGAUUCCGAGUUAUAACGACCUUGCUUCCAGGGGAAAACCAUUCUAGCAUUCCAAUAAUUUUAUCUAAUUCUUCCGAGUCAUCCAAAUCAUCAGGAACAACAAGACUCCUAUAAAGCAUAUAAUUCUUUUGAUCUUACUAAUCCCCUCAUCAACAUUGUUCAACUUGUAUUUUUAAAUCUUGAUAAAUGACCUUGGUGUGAUGUUAUCUGGUGCACAAACAUGUAGUAACUGAUUAAUAGACAAAUUAUCCGCUUAGUGAAUCAACUUUGAUGUAGCCAAUCAAACUAUAUGCCGGAAAUUUUCUGAUUUUAGACUCUGCCAUCACUUUCCUCCAAUUAGCAGCAUCUCCCCACCUUUCCCCAACAGCACUUCUAUUUGACAACACCACAUAUCGGCCACAAUGUUUUGGCUGUAAUUCAAGGACCUUCUUUCCUACCAUUUUCCAACUGAACCUCCCCAUGAAUCUUACAAGCACCAAAAAGAGCCCCUAAAACAGAGGCAUCAGGCAUGAAGGGCAUGCUAAGUGCAAACCCAACUGCAUCUCUCAGAAUUCCUGCUCUGUCCAAUAGAUCAACAACACAACCAUAAUGCUCCAUUAUUGGUACAACCCAAUAUCGACUUGACAUUGACGGAAACAACUUCAAACCCAAGUCAACAAGUUUAGCUCGAGCACAAGCAGUAAGAAUAGCAACAAAGGUAACCUCAUUGGGGCAAAAUCCUUGCGCUUUCAUCUUCUCAAACAUAUAUAGAGCUUGCUUCCCCCUACCAUUGCAGUCCAAGUGAAAACCUCUUUAACCUCUAUCCGAUUUAAUACUCUUAUUGCAGUCUCCAAACAACCUGCCUUUCCAUACAAAUCUACCAACGCAGCCCCCACGACAGCGCUCAAACAUAUCCAUGUAUCUGCUUCCCUUGAUAAAGACCAGUUCCAUCUAAAUUAGCACAAGAAGACAGCACGGUAACAAAUGCAGCCUCAUUAGGCUUCACGGAACCGCGGACCACAUCCUCGUGAACCACCAUCUUUGCCAAAAGUGGCAAUGCAUCAACAAAGCGUCCAUUCAUCACGAACCCAUUAAUAACACUCGUCCAUGAAACCACGUCCUUCUCAUUAAACACCACAAUAC
rnacentral:lncRNA from 1 species